ensembl:lincRNA
GUCGAUAAUGGGACAAAAUUUCUAAUUUGGGAACCUAAUUUUCUCUGCAAAUCUUCUUUACAUCUCUAGCUUAUUAAUACACCUCAGAAGUGUUACAGGAUUUAAUCAGCAGGAUUUUGAAGAAUAUUUUGAGCACUUCCAUGAGAUUUGGAAGACCCUAUUCUUGCUGUG